AAUAACUCUUAAAAUUCAGCUAUAAAUCUCACAUGGAUGAUCUGAUCUGGGAAGACCCCACGUGCCUCAGAGCAACUAAGGCCACGUGCCACCACAGUUGAACACGUGCUCUACAGCCUGGGAACCGCGACUACUGAGCCCAUGUGCCAAGCUGCUGCAACCCGUGUGCCCCAGAGCCUGUGCUCCUCGACGAGACAAGCUGUUGCAGUUAGAAGCCCGCCCACUGCGACUAGAGAGUAGCCGCCACGCUCUGUAGCGAGAGAAAAGCCCUCGCAGCAAUGAAGACCCAGCACAGCAAAAAAAAAUAAAUAAACAAAUAAAAGGAGAGACAGAACUAUCGUGGCCUCAUGAGGAAAGAAGUGGUCUUAAAAUACAAUUCCUCAAAAGAAGUAGCCCAGGUAAGAAAGAAGCGGGCUUAACAGCCCCAGAAGAAGGGCCCUGAGUACUAAAUAAGGAAACUCUUCAACUUCAAGAUCUGGAAUCUGUCAAUGAGAUUUCAUGAGAGGCAGUCGGACUCGGACACCCACCGCUUCCUGUUUGAGUAUAUCUCUGUUUCACCACUUCUCUGUCCAAAGUGACAUUGUCUGAGGACCAGCUGAUAAAUGUGAGCUCUUUGAGUUAGGUGCUACCUCUAGGUUUUGUAUCCCUGGGGAGAGGGGUUGCCCAAUGGGUUGAAGAGAGAAGAGCUCAGCAGGUGACCAGGGCUGGUGAUCAGUUCCUUCAGGGGUUCAUCACUGUUCCUGAGCAGAGGAUCUAAGGCUCACUGAUCCAGUCCUUUAACACGUACACAGGGGCUAUGCUAGAUCCCAAGUCUUUCUUUUUACAUUUGUGAAAUUUGAAAGAUACCAUGUGUUCCUUACAAUCCAGGAGUAAAUUUAGGAGCCCUUUAUAGAGAAUAAAGUAUGUCACAGAUUCAAAGUAUUUUAAUAAUUAGCAAGGCUUUGAAAAUACAUAAAAAGGCUGCAUUACAACAUCACCAACUACACUGUGCUGCACAAAUCAACAAAUAUUGCUGGACCAAUGCAUUCAUGUAAUGCAGUAAUCUUCCCUCUCAAAUCUAUCCAUCACACUGUCAUUGGUAUAAUCCCCUUUUGAAUGCAAUAAGCUGUAAUAAAUUGCAUUUUGCCCAUUUGGGGCAGUUCUAACAAUAACAAAAAUGCCCCUAAUCCUUAAUGAGAACCUACUUUGUACCUGGCACAGGGCUGGUUGGGUUGGCUGAAAACACGGCGAUGCCUCUUGGAAUAAUCUCAACCAAAUUACUUAACCUCUGAGACCUUCAGUUUUCUUUUCUGCAAAACGGAUAGCAAUCAUAGCUACAGGUGUGCUAGAUGCAGUUGUGCAAAUUGUAGAGUGAACAAAGGUACCAAAUCUAGGGGAACACCAUACACAUCACUAGUGUGAGAGACCGGUGUGCUUACUGCCCACAGUUCCCAGCAGAUUCUAAUAGGGUUUUUCAUUCUAACAAAAAUAGUGUAUUAGGACAGUUUUCCAACAGAUGGAAGUAAAAUGUCUUGAAGAAAAGGAGGCUUUUAUUGCUUUAUACAUAGGCAAAGAGCAACCUCAUGUGCCUAACUCUUAGGUUCAUUAUGUGGUUUUAUUGAAUAGAUGUGUAGAAAGCACAUAGAACCCAUAAGAACAGUUCAUAAAUGGUAGCAAUUCUAGUUUUUCUGCAUUUUCUGACUUAUCCCCUUUAUCCUCUUUGUCCUAUCAAACCUUAAAAGGAAACUAUUUUUAAUCCUUGUUUUACAAAUAAAAUGAGAAUUGGAGAGAUUAAAUAAUAUGUUAAAUUUCAAUUAGGUGGUGAGUGACUGAGUUUAGGAUCCUAAUUGAAGCUUGCCUGAGCUCUUAACCACUCUGCUUAAUUGCUCAGUCAUGUCUGCCUCUUUGCAACCCCAUGAACUGUAGCCCGCCAGGCUCCUCUAUCAUCGGGAUUCUCCAGGCUAGAAUACUCGAGUCGGCUGCCAUGCCCUUCUCCAGGGGAUCUUCCCAACCCAGAGACUGAACCUAGGUCUCCCACAUUGCAGGCGGAUUCUUUACUGUCUGUGCCACCAGGAGAGCCCUGUUAACCCCUGCCUUGUGCUAUUCUAUGCGUGUCAGGGAAAAUCCUGCCCCUGCCAUCUGCCUGAGUUAUGACCACUCCCAUGGCGUCCUCAUCCUGAAAUAUCAUGGGAAAGACAGGGCAGCCAAGUCCAUUCUUUAUUGCUCCCCAGAGUUUCAGUAUCACUUGUAUUCCCUCCAUAGUAUCAUAGCCUCCAAGGGUUCUUCUCUGCGUAGAUAGGUUAAGACAGUUUUCUGGAGCCUGCUCCUGGCUUACCUUUCCCCCACAAUCCCCCUGAAUCCUACUUGACCUUCUAAGGGCAGGAGUUGGAAAGGGGGCUGGGAGGACUGGAAAUGGAUUGCAAGCCUUCUUUAAAUUCUGGCCCUUCAUACUACCUUGUUAAGUGAGAAGGACGAGCACAGAGAGAGGAGACUCCUAGGAUAACCUCUCUGAGUAGAAGGAAACAAUUGUCUCAGUCUGAUUUCUGCUUUGAACCCUUACUCCUUACAGUGAGUCUCUGCUCAAUCCCAUUUUCUUUCUCCUCAUUCCCACUAUUACACUUCAUUGCAUCCUUGACAUUCAUUUCUUCUUUGACUCCCAGCAAAAUGCUUCUGUGCUUGAGGAAGAAUCAAGGUAGGGAAAGUAAUGAGAUCCUUGGGUUUCUCUAGAAGUCAGGAGGGUAUGGCAGCUAAUGCUGGUAUUGGAAGCCAGGUCCAUGGGUCAUGCAGAUGAAUGUAGUGCAAACAUAUGCACAUAAGUACUUGGACUGGCACAGGGCAAUGGACAAAGUAGUGGAGAGAUGUUUUGAAACUUUCUUUAAUUUUUUA